UUGUCGGUUGGUGUUGGCUAAUACUUAAAACAAAAAAGAAAAUUUUGUAGGAAGUGAGCCGGACGAAAAUUAAUUUUUUAUCAUUUUCGGCUCAAUCGAUGCGCAAUCGUUUGUUGGUCACAGAUACACUAAUUAAAACGUUUGUUGGUUUAUUUAUUUUGAAAAAAAAUUGUAUGCUCUCCGUGAAACGGAGGAGUGUUCCUCAUUUGCACAGAUCAGAUGCGCAGCCGUAUGUAACACAUCUUUAUACGUCUAUGGAAUUUUCACCUUGCUUUAUUUGAUUCCUUUAUAGAAAAUUUCUACCGGCACUCGUUGCGACGAUAGACGUGCAUUAUUAGAACGUUUCUUGUCCUUGGUGUAUGCAGACGAGCAAAAAGAAAUAAUAUUCAAGGAUAACGUUAUUAUAUAGACUUAUGAAGAGGAGCCAAUUCUUUUAAAAAAUAUAUAAACAUUAUUUCUAUAAAUAAUGCAUGGAAAUUAUCACGAUAAUUGCUAUGUGUAUUAAUAUAAAGCAUUACGUUGAUUUAAAGGGGAUUGAUUUGUAAUAAAAGGUGAAUUUCGUCUUUAAUGAC